GAUCGUCCUCCAAGUCCCGGGCUGAGCUCGGCGCUUCGCCGCCGCCCUGAGGGAACGGCCGGGAUGGCGGCGGGAAGGAGAGGAGCGGCCGUCGGAUACUGAGGAGACCGAGGGAUGAUGCUGCCCUGGAAAGGAGACGAUGCCCAUCUGUCUGCGGCCAACUUUUGCUCUGUAGAGAUGCCCCUCUGCGGGGCAGGACGGAGACAGCGCUGAAUAUCUGGGACAAAAGCAACCCGAAUCCAUCGGCAUCACCACAGAACUGCCAGUGCUGCCUCAGUGCCACGCAGAGCUGACAUGCGGUGUAUCAUAGGCUCGAUUGGUGUAUCAUAGGUUUGAUUGGUGUAUCAUAGGCUUCCCAUCGAGUGAGAUGCUCCAUCACUGCCUUCAGGUGGCACAAACCUCCCCUCAGGUCCCUCCUCAGCAGCACCGUGUAUUAAUUUUGCACUAAUGUGUUUCUUCAGCCCUGGAGUCAUCCUGAGUUGGUUGUAUUCCCGCAUACAUACUUAGAAAUAGGCUAAUAAACAGAAUGCUUUCCUUUUAUUUAAUUAGAGCCGUUUUUUUCCUACAAUAAGCCCUUUGUAAAUAGUCUACAUGUGAAUAAUUAGUAUAAGGAAAUCACCAGAAAAUGUAGAAUUUAAAUGUAGCUUAAUCAAGUUGAAUUAAUGAAACCUUAGACUUCCAUAAAGCCUUUGAAGGUGCUCCUGUUGUUAAUAAAGCGAGUGUAUUAGAUUAAUAUAAACCCUUCUGGAACCCGCUCGCUAUUUGUAACGUGGGCCAGGCUCUAUUUAGCAUUUAAGGAAUGAUUUUAAUUAGACUCUUCAUUCAGUGGGAAUACUAGGAAGGGAAAAGAUGAAUUAGUUGGCUUUGGAGUUUCAUAGGUGCGGUGGACAAUCCCUGUGUAUGGAGCAGCACAGUCACUCAGAUGUGGGAUCAAAAGAAAAGCCUUAGAAAAUUCUAUUUUAAUUGAGGAGAAGGAGAGCAAGAGAUUAAGCAAAGAUUUGCUCCCCUACUAAAGCAAGCUUCUUGUUCAAGGGUCACUUGUUUCCACACCUUUACCACACUGGGCACCUGCAGUCCAUAUUAGUGAGCAUACAACCUCCACCCAACAACAGAUUGGGACUAAUAGCUGAUUCUUUUGAAGAAGACUCUUAGAAAUGGUAACAUCAAGUUACAGUUCAAGGUACUUUAAUUCCUUCCAAUAGAAGGAUAGCUUGAAGGUACAUCAGAAGUGAUUUCAGGUUUUCUUUUGGAAAAAAAAGGAAAAAAAAUAUAAGACAUGGCUUCAAAAUUCAAGAACAGCAUCAGAUAAAACAAAGUGCUACCAAUAUGCACCUGUUUUGAAGUGGUACAGAGAGAAGCUUACAGGUUCAAACAAAUGGCAUGAAGGACUGAGAAAUCGAUUCAGAUAACGCUUGUUUUUACAGGGACAAAACCUGUAUUGACAACUAUGGAUAAGCAUACAUGUUAAAAAACCUGACUAUUUACACACAUUUGCUUUCGUUUGGCACUAGAAAUUACAGACAAAAGAUUCCAUUUUAUAGCAAUUAAAUUUCAAGCUUAAAAUAACCUUCAAGUCGUUUAAGUCAUUUAAGUACAGUAACUUUAAAUUGCCACCAAUUUCACAUUUUAACCCUGGAAAUUCAAGCCAUAAAAGCCUAAAUUCAGCUUCCACCUGUGACAAGUUUCACUCAGUAGGAUCAACUGCAUGUGAGGAGCUCAAGCAGCACUGGAGAAUUAACAAGAGAUACAGAUGCUUCAUAGAAAUUAAUCUCCCAUUCCUAUCCAAGGUGGACAUUACCUCUAAAUGCUUAUUUUUUUGAAUGCAUACAGAUUAAAUCAAGUAAAAAUGGGCACCCGUUACUUAUAUUCAGUCAAAUUAGACAUCACACCAACAGUCAGAGCACACGAUGCCCACCUGCAGUAUUUCUUCAGUGUUGGUGUUAAUCCCUAUUCACUUCUAUAGUUAAAAAACAGUAUUUAAGAUUACACUUCAAUAUGGUUUACUUUUUCUGUACAUCACUUUACUCUUCAGCUGUUGCCAGCAGCAAACCCUUCUGUUUCACAGGAAAACCAGCAUCAGAACAGCAGCAAGAAUGUUUUGUCAUCCUGUAAAAUCCACGUGUAAAUGGAUAAGGAAACCUUGAAAGAAGCAUUUGAAUAUCCACUUUCCAUUUCCUGCUCACGGCAUUUUGACUUUUCAGAACAGUUCUUGGAGGUUUUCUGAUAGUAACAGACACGAUAGCAACAAUGGCACAGUUGUGUUUUCCCCCCACAAAGCAUUAAAUGAAGACUAGCUAGAUUCUUCCCUUAAAGAUCUACAAUCAAUUAGGAUGACAUAAAAAUUAACAUUUGUGAGGCAUCAGGGCAAGUAAUAAUAGCACAUCAACCCGUCACCACCAACAGGCGCUGGACUUCUAUCUUAUAGCAAAAAGGAAUCUAACAAAGUACAGCCUUCUUAAUUUUCAUUUGUUUUCUCUCUAGAUUACAAAAAAACCUUGACAGCGAACAUUUUCAUUUGCUUUGCAAGCAGCAAGACCUGAGCAGAAGCUUUUGUUGAGAUGGAAUAAGGUAGAUGGUCUUGUUUUGCACUGAUCGCAUGCAGACGGGAUGUUGUGUUGCCUCCGGUAACCAGACUGAAUCCGAGAUGGACCCAACGCUUAUAGAAUGCUCUCCCCUUUCCUAUGUUAUCUGGGCAUGUCUCAAGCAGAGAUGAAUCUUGCUCUGCUAAGCGUAUUCUUUAGCAUUAAAAAGAAAAAAAAAAGCAGAAUUUGAUUACAGCAAAUUCUGAGAGGAAAAGGAAUCAGAGAAUAUAAGAGCAAGUCUUCCCAGAAGACAGUCUCCUCUACACAUCCAAAGAGAUCUAGCUGUUUGAAUUUCAGAUUAGCUAAUACAAUCCUUUAAAUAUUUCAAAAGCACAGCAUGUUAAAACAACUUUCAUUACACUUUGUGAAAUACCAACAACCUCUAUGUGAAAUCAUUACAAGCCAUUCAAACACAAUCUCUUAACAUGUUGGGGGGGAAGUGUCUCUAAAGCAUAUUUACAUGCUGCUACCAAGGAGAGAAAGCAGUAAGCAGCAGCUUCUUUAUACAAAAGCUCCAAGGAAUCUUGCUAACUCAAGUAACCCAAAGAGUUUCCUUGCACUAUUUAUUUUCACCUCAACAGAAUAUCCAGAACCACAACAAAUCUUCCUAGAGCACAUCCAUCUUUUUACUCUGAGUUUGCACGGUCUUCUCAUGCAAACCCAUCUACUGGAGGUACAUCACUCCAAGUUCCUACUAGAACAGCCGAGUCAAGUGCUUCUUUGUUUUGCAGAACGUGAACAUACACUUGAUCUUCACACAAGACAUACAUCCGCACUACAGCCUCAGCUUAUGGCUGCCACAUAAUUCAAGAAACGGAGUGCACAGCAGUAACUGCCAGAUGGAGCAUUUCCCAAGUACUGCCAUAACGGAACCUAAACGAACUGCUUAUCAGUCCACGGAACCACAGGGUUGCAUUGCACUACAGAAACACUGACCAAACGCCCCCAAAAAUACCACGAAACUACGUGCAGGUCCAAAACAGAAUAUUACAACUGUUUCUUUCAGUGAAGACCAACCAGUCCCUUUGUGUACACAUUUAGUUUUAUUGUAACAAAGCAACUUGUACACUUUAACGUUUAAAACUGAGCAUCUUUCUUUCCUUUCCAGUGAAACAAAACAAAAAAACCC